rnacentral:lncRNA from 1 species
GUUGAUCCAAAAGAAGGCAAAAAAAAAAAACAGUUUGAAGCACAAUUUUGCAACAAGCUAGGAAAAAAAUUCCUUCUUGACCCCAGAAUGGCAGUCAGAUUUAUCCUUGGAUCAAGCAGUUAUUACCCUACAUUGAAAGAUUAUAUCCUUGAAUAUUCUGUUCUUGCAAGUAUGCAUCUGGUAGCCGUUUGAACAUCUGUAUGGACUCUGAUAAAACCACUUCCUCAGGCAGAGAAUUCCACAUCCUGAUUGUUCUUACAGUAAAAAAACCUUUCCUUUGCCUUAGGCGAAAUCUUCUUUCUUCCAGUCUAAGCGCAUGGCCUCGUGUCCUAUGUAAAGUCCGGUUUGUGAAUAGAUUUCCACACAAUGGUUUGUAUUGGCCCCGAAUAUAUUUGUAUAAUGUUAUCAUAUCCCCU